rnacentral:lncRNA from 1 species
CCUGGCCCCUAUCUGAAACGAUAAGUCACAAAAACUUGACACAACUUCUACAUUUGAUCCACCAAAUCUUUCUGACAAGUUGAGAAAUUAUAUUCUUGAGACAGGAGUGCAUCAACUAGGAUAUCCUCGAACUGCCUGAAGAGAAUCAUGGGAGAUGAUAUAUAUCAGUUCCACAAUAUUUUGAGACCGAGAAAAUGCCAAGUUAAUGAAAGCAACCUUCGUUUCUCUCUGAAAAAAAAAAGCCUUCGGUGCUCGAAGCCAAUCGACCAAUUUGAUUUUUGCAACACAAUCUACAAAUUGGUGACAGACGUCCAGCCUGCAUGGCAAGCAAAGUGUGGAAUAAUUGACCUCAGGGGAACAAUUAGCUAUUGGCAAAGAUAUAUGCAUUUCGGACGAUAAGAUUUUGGCUCAAGAAGCUGUACAUUCCUUUCAUUGCUUGUCGGUAACAGGUCCUCUAACCACGAUCAAAUUAGAUAUGGAGAGUGAACGUCUGAUAGGUUUGAUUGGUCGUACUUGGAGGCUGUUUUGAGACACUUUGGCUUUCUUGAGAACCAGAUGACUUAACUGAUGGAUGCAUUGGGGACCCCUCCUUUGCUUUUCCUGUCACUAUUGAUGCACCAACUGAUUUUUUUCCCCCUUUUUCUCAAAGGGACUAUGGCAAUGUUGUCGACCAUGAUUGUAUUUAUACAUAUUAUGUGCUUGACAUAAUGUUAAGGACCAUCACAGUUAAGGUGGAGAGUGGAGGAAUUUAAGGCUAUAAAUCAAAUAGAUGAUUAUAUUAUUCUUUCAGGAGUUUGGAGACGGGAUUGCAUGAAGUAUUUGGUAUGGAUUGAUCCAUCCAGGAUCAAAGAUAAUAUGGAUAAAAAUGAUGAAAUCACUAUAUUUGAUUGCACCAUGAUGAUCCUACGUAUCCACUCUUCAAAUUAUUAUCCAAUGCGAUCCACUCUUCAAAUUAUUAUCCAAUGCGAUGAUAGAAAAUUCAUUCUUGAAUUUUUAUAGCAUAUCAAAUAAAUUAUUUAUACAUAUUAAAAAAUUUUUUAUCACUAGUAAAUUACGGCAAACCAAAUAUAGUAAUUUUAGAUCAUUAGAAAUUAAAUUAUCCUAGAAUUUAGAUCACUAGUAAUUUUAGAUUACUGUAGUGAUCCAAAUUAGAUCACCAAAUGCUUCCUU